GAGAACGGGAAGGAAGAAAGUGAUGGUAGAAAUAAAGUGAUAUAAAUAACAUCACCGUCCAUUCUCUCUCCUCAAACCAACUGACCUAACAACCCAUUGCAAAACUGUUCCUGCAGUGCUAAGACCCAGACCUGCAUGGGGCCCUGUGUGGCUCAAGCUAUGAAGGGAAUUAAAGGUAACUUGGCAACAGUGCUGACGUCACACUAGUCAGCUCUCAGGCAGGAGUGGGUGUGCUGUGUGUUGUGUAAGUGUGAAGACGUGUGUGCUGUGCUGCCUCGCGUGUACUGCUGUGUGUUGUUCUGUGUGGGUGUAGUGUGUGUGUGUGACUCUGGAAACACUGGCCAUGCACCGGAGUACAGAAGACGUGGGUAGUGUUGUGUUGUGUUGUGUUAGCUAAGUGGGAACACAGGAGUCAAGAAACAGCCUGUGGGAGUGUUUACUUCCGUGCAUCGACCAGGAGGAGUUAAAAUCCCUGAACUUCCUGGAUGUUCACAGCAUUCAUUCAGUUCACAGUGCAACUUGAAGUCCAUUACCUGAAGGCUGCUGAACAGCCUGACCAGAGCGGCAGCUGUGUGAAGUACUGCCGCCCCGCCGCCGCUGCCUGGGAGUGUGCUGCCUUUUGGAUCAAAGAGUGAGUGAGGCAGGAUGAGUGAUGGGUGCUUAGGCUGAGAGUCACGCCGCAGGGUCAGGGAGGGGUACGGCCGGCAGUAUGGUGACCCCUACGGCGGCGGCAGAAAGAAGAGGCACAGUGGGCAAGACAGAGGGACUGGGAAGGCAGACAGAAGAGGAGGAUGGACUGGGACGACCAGUACUAUGGGUCUGGCUGCGGCAUCCUACCCACCCCCUAGAUGCCCCCACGCUAACUGCCCCGGCGCGACCCUAACAUUGGCCCUGCAUACUCCUGGGGUGUGGUGGGGGGCUUUGUACUGGGGCGGCCGGGGCGGGGGCGGGGUGGAGCAACAGGACUGGGGUAUAAGAUGAAGAAAACGUUGCCGGCUAAGAAGAAAAUAGGAGCUAAGUAGGUUAAGACAAGUGGUGGUGGCGGUGGUGGUGGUGGUGCUGGUGGUGGUGGUGUGAAACAGAGGAUAAGACUGCAUCAUCAGUCUGAUGAUAUUUGGAAUAUCAAUUAUAUAACUUCUGCAACACCUGAGGACAAGACAGGAGCCAGGUAGGAUGGUCAUAGGAUGCCAGUUGGAUGUGGUGAAGGAUGGUUUGUCUGGGAAGAAUAAUGAGGAAGUGAUAUUGAGUUGCUGAUCUGUAGAUAAAAUGAUAAAAGAUGAAUAAGUGAAAUGAAAAAAAAAUGGUGUUCUGGAAUAUAUAGAACAGUAGGGGUUAGCGUGUGUGUGUGUGUGUGUAAUAAUAAUAAUAAUAAAAAUAAACGGUUUAUUAUUUAGGCAGUAGACACCUGCCGAAACGAUAAUUACUCCCAGUGAGGUCUAAAGCACUGUUCAGGGGGUGCUGUGAACUUAUCAUUAAACCCAGCUGUGACCUCACUGAACGUUUCCCUUUGUGUCUCACAACACAAGGGGGCAGUCACAGCCUGCCCUCUAAAGACAACUCUCUUCCUCCACACAAAACUACAAGCACCUAAUAACACACACACCCUUCACUCAAAAAUUUUAAAAUCAUCAUGGCGACUCCUACACCAGCCUCGGAGUCCCUAUCUGGGGAGGGGACCAUAAAUGUCCCCAGGUCGGACUGCCUUUCUGUCGACGACCAUAAGUGUCUUGACACCCCCCCCCAACUUUUUCUUCAUUAACUUCUGCAACAUUCGCGGUCUAAGAUCUAAUUUUCAAUCUGUAGAACACUACCUCUCCUCUUCUAAACCUCAUCUUCUUUUCCUCACUGAAACUCAGGUGUCUGAGGCAACCGACAGCCCCUUUUCUGUUCCCUCCUACUUUCUCUAUCCUCAUUUUCGAUCCAAAGCUGGAUGCUGCGUUUAUGUGCGCAAUGACUUAACCUGCUCUCGUGCCCACGCUCUUGAAUCUUCCGAGUUUUCUACCAUCUGGCUACGACUACAGAGUCACUCCCAUACUAAAUUUAUCUAUGCUGUAUACCUCUCACCUAACUCCUCUGAUUAUAAGAAAUUCUUUGACUACUUAACUUCCAAAGUGGAGCACAUUCUGACCCUCUUCCCUUUUGCAGAGAUCUCCAUUCUUGGAGACUUCAAUGUUCACCACCAGCUUUGGCUUUCCUCUCCCUUCACUGACCAUCCUGGUGAACUAGCCUACAACUUUGCUAUCCUCCAUGACCUAGAGCAAUUGGUGCAACACCCUACUCGUAUUCCUGACCGUCUUGGAGAUACGCCCAACAUUCUUGACCUUUUCCUGACCCCUAAUCCUUCUGCUUAUGCUGUCACCCUUUCUUCUCCGUUGGGCUCCUCCGAUCACAAUCUCAUAUCUUUAUCUUGUCCUAUUGCUCCAAUCCCUCCUCACGAUCCCCCUAAGCGAAGGUGCCUCCGGGGGUUUGCCUCUGCUAGUUGAGGGGACCUGAGGAGGUAUUUUGCUGAUUUUCCUUGGAAUGACUACUGCUUCCGUGUCAGAGACCCGUCUUUGUGUGCUGAGCGCAUAACAGAGGUGAUAGUGUCUGGCAUGGAGGCGUACAUUCCUCACUCUUUUUCUCGUCCUAAACCUUCUAAACCUUGGUUUAACACAGCUUGUUCUCGUGCUAUACAUGAUAGAGAGGUGGCCCACAAAAGGUACUUAAGCCUUCCAUCACCAGAAUCUCAUGCACUUUAUAUUUCUGCCCGGAACCAUGCCAAGUCUGUUCUCCAACUAGCCAAAAACUCCUUCAUUAACAGAAAAUGUCAAAACCUUUCAAGAUCUAACUCCCCUCGUGAUUUCUGGCAUCUAGCCAAAAAUAUCUCCGAUAACUUUGCUUCUUCUUCUUUCCCUCCUUUAUUUCAACCAGAUGGCACUACUGCUAUCACAUCUAUUUCUAAAGCUGAACUCUUUGCUCAAACCUUUGCUAAAAACUCUACCUUGGACGAUUCUGGGCUUGUUUCUCCCUCUCCUCCACCCUCUGACUACUUCAUGCCAUCUAUUAAAAUUCUUCGCAAUGAUGUUUUCCAUGCCCUUGCUGGCCUAAACCCUCGGAAGGCUUAUGGACCUGAUGGGGUCCCUCCUAUUGUUCUCCGAAACUGUGCCUCCGUGCUUGCACCUUGCCUAGUCAAACUCUUUCAGCUCUGUCUGUCAACAUCUACCUUUCCUUCUUGCUGGAAGUUUGCCUACAUUCAACCUGUUCCUAAAAAAAGGGUGACCGUUCUAAUCCCUCAAACUACCGUCCUAUUGCUUUAAUUUCCUGCAUAUGUAAAGUUUUUGAAUCUAUCCUCAACAGGAAGAUUCUUAAACAUCUAUCACUUCACAACCUUCUAUCUGAUCGCCAGUAUGGGUUCCGUCAAGGCCGCUCUACUGGUGAUCUCCUGGCUUUCCUUACCGAGUCUUGGUCAUCCUCUUUUAGAGAUUUUGGUGAAACUUUUGCUGUUGCCUUGGACAUAUCAAAAGCUUUUGAUAGAGUCUGGCACAAAGCUUUGAUUUCCUAACUACCCUCCUACGGUUUCUAUCCUUCUCUCUGUAACUUCAUCUCAAGUUUCCUUUCUGACCAUUCUAUUGCUGCUGUGGUAGACGGUCACUGUUCUUCUCCUAAAUCUAUUAACAGUGGUGUUCCUCAGGGUUCUGUCCUGUCACCCACUCUCUUCUUAUUAUUCAUUAAUGAUCUUCUAAACCAAACUUCUUGCCCUAUCCACUCCUACGCUGAUGAUACCACCCUGCACUUUUCCACGUCUUUUCAUAGACGUCAAACCCUUCAGGAGGUAAACAUAUCACGCAGGGAAGCCACAGAACGCUUGAUUUCUGAUCUUUCUAAAAUUUCUGAUUGGGGCAGAGCAAACUUGUUAUUGUUCAAUGCCUCAAAAACUCAGUUCCUCCAUCUAUCAACUCGACACAACCUUCCAGACAACUAUCCCCUCUUCUUCAAUGACACUCAUCUGUCCCCCUCUUCUACACUGAACAUCCUUGGUCUGUCCUUUACUUAUAAUCUGAACUGGAAACUUCACAUCUCAUCUCUAAAACAGCUUCUAUGAAGUUAGGUGUUCUGAGACGUCUCCGCCAGUUUUUCUCACCCACCCCAGCUGCUAACUCUGUACAAGGGCCUUAUCCGUCCAUGUAUGGAGUAUGCUUCACAUGUCUGGGGAGGUUCCACUCAUACUGCUCUUCUAGACAGGGUGGCAUCAAAACCUUUCGUCUCAUCAACUCCUCUCCUCUAACUGACUGUCUUCAGCCUCUCUCUCACCGCCGCAAUGUUGCAUAUCUAGCUGUCUUCUACCGCUAUUUUCAUGCUAACUGCUCUUCUGAUCUUGCUAACUGCAUGCCUCCCCUCGUCCUGCAGCCUCGCUGCACAAGGCUUUCUUCAUUCUCUCACCCCUAUUCUGUCCACCUCUCUAACACAAGAGUUAACGAGUAUUCUCAAUCAUUCAUCCCUUUCUCUGGUAAACUCUGGAACUCCCUGCCUGCUUCUGUAUUUCCACCUUCCUAUGACUUGAAUUCCUUCAAGAGGGAGGUUUCAAGACAUUUGUUCAUCAAUUUUUGACCACUGCUUUGACCCUUUUAAGGGACUGGCAUUUCAGUGGGCAUUUUUUUUAUUAGAUUUUUGUUGCCCUUGGCCAGUGUCCUUCCUACAUAAAAAAAAAAAAAAUGAAAAUGUACAGAGGGGGUGGGGAAAUACUUAACAUUAAUCCUAAAGGUAAGUCUAAUCUAGAAGGGGCUAUUGAGUGAUGGCUCGCACCAUGGUGGGAAUCGCGCUGAGUCUGUACCGGUCCGUGCGCGGCGCCUUUAGGGGCGUUAUCUUGUGGUGUCUGUUGGCAUGGACCAGGCGAGGCGCGUUAGGCGGCAGCAUGUGUCUGAGACGUGGAUGAUGCAGUAGUUCCCUUCCAAACUUCUCCAGAGCCUCUCGGUGCCUGGUGGAUAAUCUGGACAGAUUCAGGGUGGUCAGGGCUUCAUCAUAAGUGGUGUAGGCAGGGCCAAGGAUGACCCUGCACGUGUGUGUGUGUGUGUGUGCUGGGGGGGGAUGUAUCUUUGUUAAUUAAAAAGAAGAAAUGAAUAUAAUGGUGGAAUAUAUAGCAUUUUUUUUUUUUUUUUGUUCAGAAGAAAUAAGUUUGGUUUGAGUUUAUAUAUGAAUGGAAAAAAGGCUAAGAGAGAGAGAGAGAAAGAGAGAGAGAUUUAUAAUGAACUGGAAUAUAAAGCAGUACAAAGCUGUAAAAGAAAUUAAUUGAUGUUUACUUUAGAUUAAUUUGUGUAAAGUAGAGAAAAAAAAUAAUGUGUUUUGAGUUGAUGUAUCAGUGUAACCUAGAAAAUGGAGGAGAAAUUAUUGUUUCUUUAAAUUUUAUGUCAUUGUAAACUAGAAAAUAUGAAUAAUUUUUUUUUUUUUAUUCUAUAGAUCAUUAUAAAAUUAAAAAAUAAUAUAGGAGUGUUUUUUUUAUGCCAUUUUAAACUAAAAAAAAAAAUAAAAUGUAUAUAUACAGAAGUAAUGUGUUAGAUUUUUUGCUUUGGUACAUUAAUUUCACGGUUAAUCAGUUUAUACUUCCUGUUGUCAUCCUUGUCCUGUUCAGGGUGUGAGUGGCCCAAGACCUGCUAGAACUCUUCUGCUUGUGUGGCAAAAGAAAGUGGCAGUUUUUACUCUUGAUUUCCACCCCGAGAUAUUAGUCGCUGUAUUUGCUGAGGAUUUCCACCCCAAAAGUUAAAAAUAUUAGUCGCUGUAUUUGUUGAGGUUCAUGUGUGUGUGUGUGUGUGUGUGUGUGUGUGUGAGACAGAUUUGUACUUCAUUCAAGCAUCUUUUAUUUUCACUACUGUUAAUAUCUUGUUCACUACUGGAAGAUUAGUACUAAGAUGUGAUUCCUGUUAUUUUUAAGGGUAUUAUUCCAAUGGUUUUGUAUGAUUGCAUCUCAUUCCUGUUGUACUUGAGAGAGAGAGAGAGAGUAUUUACUUCUUUCCCAAUAUGUAAGAGAGAGAGAGAGAGAGAGAGAGAGAGAGCGGGCCCCAUUGCACAAACUAAUGAUAAAAAAAAACUCACAACCAUUCUAAAAGUAUAAAUAUGUUAGUUUUGUGAGUAGAAUUUGCCAGAAAGGAAAUUUGAAAUACAGGAGUGUGUGGGAGAGGCAAAGGAUAUGUAGGAAGGCAGAUUAGUGUGUGAAGGAUGUGUAGGAGAGGCUGAGGAUAUCCUGUACACUGUGUCAGGAUGGUUAAGGAUGAUUUGGAAGGGAGGUAGUGUGUGAAGGAUGCAUUAGGUAGGAUGUGUAGGAGUGGGUACAAUGUGUUAAGAAUGAUAUGUAUGUUACAGGAGAUAAGGAUGUGUAUUUUCACCACAGCUAUGUGUACAGAUUGGUGUUAAGACAUUAGGAAGGUUUGAUUAAGCUGGACCAUCAUUCCUUGUGUUGUCUUAAUAAAUGCAUGCAAACUGACUGUAAACUCUCUCUCCUUCAGUGUUCAUUAGUGUAUUUAUCAGCUUUUGGGGUCAAGAUGUCACUUUAUUUAUUUAUUUUUUUUUAUUGUUAUUUUGUUUGUCUUAUUUUUUUUUUUCUUUGUGUUGGACAGUUUACGAGUCUGUUCCAGUUUUUGUGACAGUGGAUGUGGUUUCUUUCUGUGAUGCUUGUCCUUGCCAUGCCUUCCUUCCCAGUGACUACCAUGUGUAGGCCUGAUGGCUCCUUGCAGCUUCCCUUUUGUACGUCCUUAUGUUACUCCACACUCGGCAUCUCCAUGUGUUGACUGUUUAUCUUUUUUGUGUCUUCCUCCACAUAUAAAUAACACUCACACACACACACUUCAGGUAUUCUCAGAUAUUCAGUAUUCAUUCUUAUCUUGCCUUCCUUCACCCACUCACAGCAUCUCCAGGUCUUCACACUCAGCAUUCCCCCUCAUCUUUCACUCCACACAGUAUCCUUCACUCCACACAGCCUGCCCCCUCCUCCUUCACUCAGCCUCUUCCCUCAUCUUUCACUCAGCUUCCCUCCUCAUCUCUCAGUCCACACAGCCUCCCCCCUCAUCCUUCACUCCACACAGCCUGCCUCCUUAUCCUUGACUCCUUUAGUCAGCCUCUUCCCUCAUCUUUCACUCAGCUUCCCUCCUCAUCUCUCACUGCACACAGCCUGCCCCCUCAUCCUUCACUCUUCCACACAGCAUCCCUCAUCUCUCACACCAUCCAAGCCUUACACAUCCACACCUACAUCUACAUCUCACACCUGCAGCAUCCCUGGAAUCACAUCAGUGCCCCCAGGUGACAGGUGAGCUCUGUUUUGAGAGAUUAAAUGACUUUUCUAAUUCUAUCCUCCAUUCUGUUUUUCGUCACCACCACCAUCACCACUACCACCAAUAUUUAUGACCUAAAUAUGCUAAUUAUACUGUUUGUCAUGCGUAUUUUUAAUUGUGGAGUAGGGAAGUGGAAGAAUAAUUGAUUUCAUAUUAAGAGCUAAAGUAAGAAUGUAAGAAAAUAAGGGCUGGUGCAAGAAACUAACGCGCGGUGGUCCAUAUUUCAAACAUGCCUGCGUAUUUCCAGCCAUCAUCCCUGUCCAUAAAUUCGGAAAAUCUCUUAAAACUACCUAAUGACUCAGCGCUAACAACCUGGUUCGUUUGUCUCUACCGUGUGGAUGAAUAUUUUCCUUAACUACCUCGUUGUAUUAAACUGCUUGUAAUGGUUGACGUAUUCUGGUCUGCAUCCUUCAUUUGUAUCUUGUUUGUAUUCUUGUAUUCUUAAGCACUUCAUUUCAAAAUAAUGGCAAAGAUAGUUAGUCUUUGCCAUGCUGAUAAAAUAUUUCCUCUAACUACCUCGUUAAAUUAAUCUGCUUGCAAUUGUUGAUGUAUUCUGGUUUGUGUUCUCCAUUUGUAUCUUGUUCGUAUUCUUAAGCUCUUUGUUCUUUCACCAGGACUGUUAACAAAUGCCACAGAGGUGAUUGGUCAGGUUCUCAUGGGUGUUCUCAUUAAUGACGCAGGAUCCUCACCAAACCAUCACUGAAUCAUGAUAGUGCCAUUAUCACUUCGUUGACUUUCACUACAGGCUGUAAAACUAUCACCCAAGGAAACACACUUGUAAAUCCCUAACAGUUUGUAGUAUACCCUGCUAAAACAUUCGUAAAACCACGAUAACUUCCAGUAAAUCAAAGGAAAUUGUAACUAAACCAUGAAAAUACCGUUGCAAAACUCAAGUCACCUCACUAAUUAUAAUUUCAAUCACUAAAGCCACGAAAACAUACUUGGAAAACCAAAUAACUUUAGCUCGGGUUUGGUAAAAGUAGUAGAGGUAUUUUCUUUUCUUCCCUUUUGUUGCCUCAGCCCGGUGUCCCUCUGAUAUGAAAAAAAAAAAAAAACAAGGCUUUGAAGCGUUCGAGAUAGCGAGAAAGUUCCGAAGCUUCAGCAGAUGUGAACUAACGCCUGACUCUAGCCGCGUCGCCUUCCCUACCUCCGUCCGCCGCCCAGGUAAGGUCAGUGUUGUUUUGUGAUUAUUCUGUUUGCUGGUGGAUGAUGGUGUGUUCUUGGUGGCGGUGGUUGUGUUGUGGUGGGCUUGAUGUAUAUGUAAGAGCUGGGUGGAGGCGAGGGAAGGUGAAAAUGAAAGUAUAAUGAAUUCAGUUUUAUUGGUACUCCGUGUUGGCUGUUACUGUCCCUCAUUUGUUGCGUUCACAGUCGACAGGUGCGUGACAAUCUCCUAUCGUCAUACUGUAACGCUCUGCUGGUUCAGGUCAUGUCAGGUCUCUCCAGGGUUGAGGUGGCAGCAGCGGGGACAGGAACACCCAACACUGAGUAGGUACUCGGUCUUGAUAAGCACUUUCACUUACGCGUUUUUUUUUUUUUUUUUUUCAGUUCAGGAACGUCGAUCUUGAAUUGACAAAAAUUUUACCCCAUGUUAGGUAGCAUUUUUUAUUUUUGAGAAGAAUCAAGUCUUGUGCAUUUUGACCGAAAGUGAAAUUUGACAAAUUUGUCCCCAAAAUUAUUUCAGGAUGUUACCAAAAUUUAAAAAAGGUAAAUUAUCAAGACCGACACCUAUCCCAUCAAGUCCGACGGACCAGUCUUGAAGUAGCCGCACUUGAAUUUUGUCAUUUUGCUACUUAAGGAAGAGGAAAAAGAAGAAGAAGAAGAAGAAGAAGAAGAAGAAGAGAAAGUUUAAGAAAAAUAUGGAGAAGAAAAAGGCGAAAAAUAGAAGAUUUUCAAUGACACUGCCUAUAGAAUGCUGUAUUAUAAGAAGAGGAAUAUUUUCAA